AUGGACGCUGGCGGCGUGCCUCAUACCUGCAAGUCGCGCGCACAGACGAGGAGCUUGCUCCUCUGACGUUAGCGGCGGACGGGUGAGUAACACGUGGAUAACCUACCUAUAAGACUGGGAUAACUUCGGGAAACCGGAGCUAAUACCGGAUAAUAUAUUGAACCGCAUGGUUCAAUAGUGAAAGACGGUUUUGCUGUCACUUAUAGAUGGAUCCGCGCCGCAUUAGCUAGUUGGUAAGGUAACGGCUUACCAAGGCAACGAUGCGUAGCCGACCUGAGAGGGUGAUCGGCCACACUGGAACUGAGACACGGUCCAGACUCCUACGGGAGGCAGCAGUAGGGAAUCUUCCGCAAUGGGCGAAAGCCUGACGGAGCAACGCCGCGUGAGUGAUGAAGGUCUUCGGAUCGUAAAACUCUGUUAUUAGGGAAGAACAAAUGUGUAAGUAACUAUGCACGUCUUGACGGUACCUAAUCAGAAAGCCACGGCUAACUACGUG
rnacentral:rRNA from 1 species